rnacentral:lncRNA from 1 species
AAAAGGGUUUGAAUCCUAUGAUCAUCACCAUAUGCAGCAAUUAUAAUUUUCAGAUCUAAGAAUUAAUUGAUUAUGUUAUGACAUAGGUUGCUGAUCAUGCUAAUCAUGAUUCUAAACUUUGUAAUCUCAUUAACAAUGCAAUUAGAAUCAUCAUCUUAUCACAUAAAAAUCAGCAUGCAAAAAUUCAGGAACCCUAAAAAAUCUGCAUGCAGAAAUUUUCAG